GGGGUUGUAGCUCAGCUGGGAGAGCGCUGCGUUCGCAAUGCAGAGGUCGGGAGUUCGAAUCUCCUCAGCUCCAC
rnacentral:tRNA from 3 species